rnacentral:lncRNA from 1 species
GUUUUAAGUUUUCCUGCUCAGUGUUUGAUAGCUGUUAGUUUUACUCUAGAAUGCUUGUCCUACUACAUUAUCUUCCAAGGAUUGACAUUAGAGCACCCUGUCCUAUGUUUUUCCUUUGUUGCCAUAAAGGCUGUCAUUUUUUGUAUAUUACCAGAAUUUUAUUAUUCUCUAAAUUCACUCUAUUAUUUCUGAUUCAUGCUCCAUAGUGUUCUUAGCUAUUUUCUUACUUAUUUUCUUAUUGACAUAGAACUUAAGAACCCAUUCCUGGGUAUGUAAUCUAGUGGUAGAAAAGUUCUUAGCAAAUUCCAGGCUCUGCAUUGCUCUCCAUAUGCCAGUACUGAAAAAAAAAAAAAAACAGAGAGACUAUCCCUGUGGGGAAGGAGUAGGGUAGGCGCUUCCAUUUGGAUUCCUGUAUGUAAGAACCUGGGUAGCUGGUUUGUCUUGCAGUGCUUCACAUUGAUAUACAGCUGUUGCUAAAGCUGGUUUUAGGUUUUGUGUGUAAGAAGUCAUGCGAGGUUUGCUUAUUUGUGUUUAGCUGCUUGUUAAUCUGAGGUUUGAUGCAAGGCAGAAUGGCUUGGUCACAUGAGGAGGCACUAUUCUGUUGUCCUCCACUGUUCAACUUUGGUUUGUUUCAAAAGAAGUUUUAGUUUACUUUAGGGUAAGACAAGUUUCAGAACAAGAAGGAAGGAAAUGAUGGGAUGAGAAAUAAGAGUCCCGGGCCCUGUUCUGUGUUUGGCUUCAUGCGACAGUCUGCGGCUGUUGGGGAUUUAGAGGCACUCUGACACCCAUGUGUUUGCAUGCCGUUCCUAUCUUAGUUCCCCUUGGCUGUGCCUACCUUAGCAGGCUGCCUUGGUUGAUAUCUGGUAUCCAGUAGGCAAUGUGGGAAGGAAUCGUGAUGUGAGUGAGCACAGAGCACACCUCCAGCAGCAGAUUUCUUCCAUCUAAGUAUGGUCUACUCCUCCUCUUCUCAUGGACUGUUAUUUCUUAGUGUCUUCUGCUGCUGCGUUAUACUUAGGAACUCAUUGGCCUAAUUUUUAUCUUCAUCCAAAAGUGACUAAUGAGCUAGGUGUGCACUAGGGAGUAGGCUGAAGGCAGGUCAGUGAGUUUGAAGAUAGAAUAGGCUACUUUGAGCCGGAAUGUGACUGAAAAUUACUAAAUACUAGUGAUUUAGAUAUGUCUUAAGAAAGUUAUGCUACAUUUUUGGAUAGUAUUUAAAGCCAGUACUACCAGGAAUCUAGAAACUUCUUGUCCAGGCUAAAAAAAAAAUAAAACUCGUGUCUUAAGAUUAUCACUGUAUAUUUUAGAUAGAAUUUGACUAAGAAGCUGUGCACAAAACCUUGGGUUCAACCUCUAGCACUAAACUAUUGCUUAUUACUAUAAAACAAGGCUACUUUGAAUUUUCUGAGUCACUUUUUUGUGUUUUGCAGAUGGGUACUAUUUCACUUACUUUAUUGUGUAAUAGCUUGUAAAAUGAGGCUUUUUUAAAAGGGAGAUAGAUAUUACCUUGAAUUACAACCAACCAGCUAUUUUAUAAGCCUGGGGCAACCAUUUUAUUAUAAAUAAAAUUUUAAAAUUAUAAUAAAGUGCCUUUAUUUAUAAACUGUCAGCUUUCACCCAGUUGUCACUCUCUUUACUUUUCAGUAAAAUGCAUUUCUCAGGUUUCUUUUCUCUUUUUAUUGUAUGGAUGUAGAAGAUUUUUGUAUAGAUUAUUAUAGCAAGGCCUAGAAGAGAUUUACAGACAAUCCCAAAGGGGAGGUUUGUUUUUUGUUUUGUUUUGUGAGGGCUCAGGAGAGAGGAGCGCAUUGUUUCUUGUAGUCUAUUUCUCACAGUCUGCUUCAGACACGUGAUUAGAGACUGACUUUCAGUAAAGUGGACAUAAGUAGAGCCAUAGAUAAAAUC